AUGAAGCUUGCCGUGGAGGUCGCGGACGCGGCGGAGCUGUCGGCCAAGGACGGCGCGUCCUCAUGCAACGCGUUCGUGGAGGUGGAGUUCGACGGGCAGCGCCAGCGCACGGCCACCCGCCCCGGCGACCUCUCCCCGCAGUGGAACGAGACGCUCGUCUUCGACGUGCGCGACCCAUCCCGCCUCGCCGCCCUCACCGUCGACGUGUCUGUACAGCACGACCGCAGCCUCAACGACCACAACGCACUCCGCCCCCACGUCUUCCUCGGCCGCGUCCGCGUCUCCGGCGAGUCCGUCGCUCGCUCGCCCGACGAGGCCUUCCUGCAGCGCUUCCCGCUGGACAAGAGAGGGCUCUUCUCCCGCGUCUCCGGGGACAUCGCGCUCCGGCUCUACCUCCUCCCCGACGCGCGGGACGGCGAUCGCGUCGCGCAGGACCAUGCUGCUGCUGCUGCUCCGGCCAUGGACACGGGCGGUGGUCAGCAGCAGCCUUCCCAACCCGCCGCUGCCAAUUUGGACCCCGAGAGGAUGGUCAGGAACGUCUUCUCCGGCGAGGCUUCGGCAGGAGCCACAGCUGCUUCUGCCUCAGGCGGGCAGGCGGUGGGGACCAAGGGGAAGAGCGGCCACGACACGCGCGAGUUCCGCUCCAUUCCGGCAUCGUCAGGCGGUGGCAACGAGCCUCGACGCCACACGCUCCACGCCAUGGCGGCGCCGCCCCCGCCGGCGGGGCAGACGGUGGUCGUGCCGAAGCCCGCCGGGCCUGCCGGGGCACCGCCUCCGGGCUCGCAGUACGGCCUCACCGAGACGAAGCCCCCGCUGCCGGCCAAGAUGGGGCCGCGCUCUGGGACGGCCAAGAUCGCGUCCACCUACGACAUGGUGGAGCCGAUGUCGUACCUCUACGUUACCGUCGUCAAGGCGCGCGACCUGCCCUCCAUGGACCUCACCGGCGCGCUGGACCCGUACGUGGAGGUGAAGCUGGGCAACUUCAAGGGCGUCACGCGGCACCUGGAGAAGAACCAGAACCCGGUGUGGCGGCAGACGUUCGCCUUCUCCGGCGCCCACCUCCAGGCCAGCCAGCUCGAGGUCAUCGUCAUGGACAAGGACACGCUCCGGGACGACUUCGUCGGCCGCGUCGUCUUCGACAUGUCCGACAUCCCCAGCCGCCUGCCGCCGGACAGCCCGCUGGCGCCGCAGUGGUACAGCCUCGCGGACGCCCACGGCGAGCGGUUCCGGCACGGCCACCCCCUCGGCGAGAUCAUGCUCGCCGUCUGGCUCGGCACGCAGGCCGACGAGGCGUUCCCGGAGGCGUGGCACUCGGACGCGCACUCGCUGUCGCGGGAGGGGCUCACCAACACGCGCUCCAAGGUGUACUACUCGCCCAAGCUCAUCUACCUCAAGGUCUCCGUCAUCGCGGCGCAGGACCUCAUCGCCGCCGACAAGGGCCGGCCGCUCGCGCCCACCAUCGCCAAGAUACAGAUGGGCAGCCAGAUCAGGCGGACGCGGCCGGGGCAGCCGCAGGGGUCGGCGAACCAGGCGUGGAACGAGGAGUUCAUGUUCGUGGCCAGCGAGCCGUUCGAGGACCCGCUGGUGGUCACCGUGGAGGAGAAGGUCGCCGCCGGCCGCGACGAGCCCAUCGGCCGCAUCAUCAUCCCCGUGGCGUCGCCGUACGUGCCGCGCAACGACCUUGCCAAGUCCAUACCAUCCAAGUGGUUCAACCUGUCGCGCGGCAUGACGGUGGACGAGGCGGCGGCGGAGGCUACGACGGGGACCAAGCACCGGGAGCACUCCAAGACCUUCGCCAGCAAGAUCCACCUCAGGAUGAGCCUGGAGACGGCGUACCACGUCCUCGACGAGUCCACGCACUACAGCAGCGACCUGCAGCCGGCGGCGAAGAAGCUGCGGAAGAGCGCCAUCGGCGUGCUCGAGGUCGGCAUCCUCAGCGCACGCGGCCUCGGCGGCAACAAGAGCCCCUACUGCGUGGCCAAGUACGGCUCCAAGUGGGUGCGCACGCGCACGCUGCUCGGCACCGCCGCGCCGGCGUGGAACGAGCAGUACACCUGGGAGGUGUUCGACCUGAGCACCGUCAUCACCGUCGCCGUCUUCGACAACAACCACCUCCACCACAGCGACGGGAAGGACCAGAGGAUCGGCAAGGUGCGCGUCAGGCUCGCCACCCUCGAGUCCGACCGCGUGUACACCCACUACUACCCGCUCAUGGCGCUUACCCCCGGCGGCCUGAAGAAGACCGGCGAGCUCCACCUCGCCGUCCGGUUCACGUGCACGGCGUGGGCCAACAUGCUGGCGCAGUACGGGCGGCCGCUGCUGCCCAAGAUGCACUACAGCAACCCCAUCUCCGUGCUGCAGCUGGACUACCUCCGGUUCCAGGCGAUGCAGAUGGUGGCGACGCGGCUGGGCCGGUCGGAGCCGCCGCUGCACCGGGAGGUGGUGGAGUACAUGCUCGACGUGGACUCGCACAUGUUCAGCCUGCGGCGGAGCAAGGCCAACUUCUACCGCAUCACGUCGCUCUUCUCCGGCGUGGUCGCGGUCGGCAAGUGGUUCGACGGCAUCUGCAAGUGGAAGAACCCGCUGACGACGAUCCUGGUGCACGUUCUGUUUCUGAUACUGGUGUGCUACCCGGAGCUGAUCCUGCCGACGGUGUUCCUGUACCUGUUCAUGAUCGGGGUGUGGAACUACCGGCGGCGGCCGCGGAAGCCGCCGCACAUGGACACGGUGCUGUCGCACGCGGAGCAGGCGCACCCGGACGAGCUGGACGAGGAGUUCGACACGUUCCCGACGUCCAAGCCGUCGGACGUGGUGCGGAUGCGGUACGACCGGCUGCGCAGCGUGGCCGGCAGGGUGCAGACGGUGGUGGGCGACCUGGCGAUGCAGGGGGAACGCGCGCAGUCGCUGCUCAGCUGGCGCGACCCGCGGGCGACGGCCAUCUUCAUCACCAUGUCGCUCAUCGUGGCCGUGGUGCUCUACAUCACGCCGUUCCAGGUGGUGGCCGUGGUGUUGGGGCUCUUCAUGCUCCGCCACCCCCGGUUCCGGAGCAAGCAGCCGUCCGUGCCAUUCAACUUCUACAAGCGCCUCCCCGCCAAGGGUGACAUGCUCCUAUGA
rnacentral:rRNA from 1 species